UUCCAUGCGUCUAGUUGCCCAUUCAUUUUUUAACAAACAUAUCCCAGGCGCCAGUUUAUCUGUCAGUUACCCAAGCGGGCCCUGGGAACACGGAUGAGUUCAGGUCCAGUGUGGAGACAGACAGGAAGCUGUUGCUAAAGGAAGUGAGAGCUGUCUGAGGGCCCCCACGCAGGGCUCCCUGAACAGAAAGGAUUCCUGCCAGGUGGGAGAGUGGCCUGCCCAGGCCUGCGGGGGAAUCUUGUUAGAGCUUCACUCUGAAGAAUGACUCCGGUGAGAAGGUCGUCAGGCUCAUCUGAAUAGAAGAGAGAGAUUUUGGCUUUGAUUCCAGAAUGAUGUUUCGCAGAAAGUCAACUCUUGUUCCAGGGUGUCUGUACGGGUACCAACCUGUGUAUCUGUAGAAAACCGCCGGAAACUGUCACAAAAUAAAAAAUGAGAGAAAGCCUGAAUUAAAAUGAUCCUGUUGGAGUGAUACAAGGAAUCCUGCCUCCUUGAAAGCAGUGGACGAUGUCUGUCACCCUUGAAUAAGCCUGGAACAAUACAGAGCAGGUGCUCAGAAAACAUUCAGUGAAUGAAUUCUGAGUGAACAUUAAAACGGGGUAACGAUAUCUUCCUGGAAGUCUGUGACUGGAUUUGAAAAUCUUCCUCUGUCCUUUCCAUUUCUAAAUAUUCUCCGGUUCCUUGCACAGAAAGUCUGACUCCCACAACAAUGUUACAGAAACUCGGCUAGAAAAUGCUCAGAUAGUCAGUACGGAAUAAUUCGUCCUCGUUUGUCAAGUGAAGGCACUCUGGCUAUGUGUUUUAAUGAAGAGAAUAAUGCCUUACUAUUUGCAUGUCCAAUAUUUAGAGGGAUCAUUUAAAUACUACUUGUAAAUACUGUAUGUAAAGGGAUCAUUUUACACUAUUUAAAAAAUUACGUUCCUUGAAGUAGCAUUUAGAUGCUCGGAGGGAUCCGACUGACAGUUGGCUUAGCACAUCCUUUGUUCACAGGUCUUGGAAGGAAUGGGAUACUGUGGCACAGCACAUGUGCCAAGGGAAGCGGCCGGGUAAGCACAGGCUGUGUGAAUGGCCUGUUCUUUACUCCACUACUGUGUUCUGUGUCGGUCAGGCCACUUCCAGGCUGCGCUGUGAGAGGAACAUACUGUAAACUGGAUUACAUCCUAGGGAAGGAACCGGAAACCAUGUUAGCAGAAGAAAAUGGGAAGCCUAACUAAGAGGGGAGGAGACAGUGCAGACUCAGAGUUGUCAAAUAUUUGAAAGUUUCUCAUAAAAAGACAGAUUCUCUGCUGCAUGGGCCAUGAGACCAGUCUAGAACCGAUGAGUAGAAGCUGCAGGGGAGCAGAAUGUGACUCAGCCCACAGAAGGAAUCUCCAAGAGUCUGGCCUCCUAAGCAGAGGCCUGAUUGGAAAUGUAGGGAGCGGGCGCCAUCACUGACUUUCGGGCCAGCCAACCUGGAGUCAGCGGUGUCCUACACGGCUUCCUCCUGUGGCAGGUGGACAGCCCGCACGCUUCUGGCCAGCUCUCAUGGAAAUCUGUCCAGCAUUCUAGACGGGCUACAAUUACACAGUGUUCUUUUCUAACACCCAAGGUAAAGUAUUGUAAGUCUGCUGUAGCUAAUGACUUAAGUUCGGAAAACUGUGAAUUUCAAAAGUUAACCUAGAAUCUCACAGACCUAUGAUUUUAUUUUAUAUUCUGACCCGGAAGCAAGAUUUUGCAUCGUGACCUUGCUGCUUCCUACCCAGGAGAUUUCUUAUCUGGGAGGCUGAAACAAGCGGCUCGCUGAUCUUGGGGACCUCGGUUUGUGUUCCGGGAAUCACCCUGGGCGUAGGGAUGGAAGAUAAGCUGGGGAGUUGAAGGGUCAGCUCAGAUCACCUUUUAAUUUGUUAUCUGAGAACUGCGUGGUUUUUUUUUUUAAGCUUUUCCUUCUAGCAGGGGUGGCUGGUAACUUUCCGCAGAAGCUGACCCUCCUCAGCAACAGCCCCCAGCCCGACCCCUCUUUUCUCCUUUUUUCCUUCCCUUGCUUUUCAUUAGAAUCCCUACGAGCCUUUACAUGCUUAGCAUGAAAAUGAGCCCAUUUUAUUUUUGGAACCCACAGAGGCAGCCCUGAGGGGAGUUAUUGUGUUGCUUUUAGCAGCUAAACAAAAAGGUGUGAAAUCAUUUGCUGGCUGUUCUAGAAUGGGAGAAAAUAAAUAAAUAAACAGAGAAGGGAGGUUCAGAACGGUGGGUGGCAACUUGGACAGAACCUCAUGCCUGGGCUUCUCAGAGACUUAUUAGUAACCACAAGGGCUGUGGGGAUGUCUGUGUAUCUCUCUCACCUUCCCAGGAAGUUACUAGAACAGCACUGGAAGCCACUGGGAUUUUUUUUUUAAUUUAUUCAUUUUGAAAUACUAUUUCCAUGUUGCUUUGAAAGGACUUGGGGAUGGGACUAGUUUGAGAGAAUUCUUUACAGCCGUUUAUAACAUUCCCUGUACAGGGAGGUGAGGGAGAGACCACUUCAGCAAGAUUUUUAAAAAAUUGGAGAUACCCAGGGAGUAGUACUUUAUCAUGAGGCUUUUAAUAACAAUUUAAUAACAUAACAGUGGUAAGAGACAAAGGCCUGAUGCAACACAGAUUUCUCGUGAAGCUGGAGGCUUUUGCCUCUUUCCCAAGAGCCAAACCCUGUUCUGCAGCAGGUCUGUGUCCUUCCACCCUUGGCCUUCAUGCAGGCCUGACUAGUUAGCUUAACAAAUGCCUUUGGAGUUGAUCUCCCAGCUGCCUGGCUUCAGUGACUGGUGUGUAUCACCAUGCAGUGGGCAGCCGCUGGACCCCUCUGAUUGAGAUGUCUUAUGAGCCUCAUUUUCUUUAGCAUUCAGGGCAGAAUUCUAGGAAAGUCAAACACCAGGAUAGAUGAACCCUUUAAAAGUACAAUGUAAUUGAUUAAUUAAUUCACAGAACAGAUAAUAUUGAUUGCUCACUUGUUGCCAGGGACUAUCUGUGUGCAGAAAUAUGGCGAGUCACAGACAGGCAAACGGAAACUGAAACCAUUGUAAUACCCAAAUUUUCUCUUUGGAAAGGAACUGUCCUGGCUUAGGAACAUUUCAAGAUAAGCUGUUGACCUUGAAGAUAGGGGUGAUAAAGACCAGGAGACAAUUAACUGAGCUGAGCCAGAUUGCGGGAGAAGAAGAGGGGGAGGAGAGAGCUACCGAGGAACCUCAGGGUGCGGGGGAGAGAGAAGAGGGUGGGAGUGGGAAAAAACACAGAGAGGAAGACACAAGGACAUUUUGCAAAACAGCCGAGAUGAGCGUGAGCUGUGGUGGUUCUGCUGCCGAAGGGUCGGCCCCCAGGUUGCUCAGGCCCACCUGCAGCUGUCUGUCUCCAGUGGGGGGGGGGGGUCCCUGAGUGCUGUUCACCCUCUCCCCCCACCCCAGUGAAGUCCUCAGGGAGACAGAGUUUUCUAAAAAACCAAGUAAGGGGUGGAUAUCAUAC